rnacentral:rRNA from 1 species
UACGUAGGGUGCGAGCGUUGUCCGGAAUUACUGGGCGUAAAGAGCUCGUAGGCGGUUUGCCGCGUCGUUCGUGAAAACCGGGGGCUUAACCCUCGGCGUGCGGGCGAGACGGGCAGACUGGAGUACUGCAGGGGAGACUGGAAUUCCUGGUGUAGCGGUGGAAUGCGCAGAUAUCAGGAGGAACACCGGUGGCGAAGGCGGGUCUCUGGGCCUGUACUGACGCUGAGGAGCGAAAGCGUGGGGAGCGAACAGG